UAUACAAAACAUACCUCAUCGUUUGGAUUUUACGAGCGUAUUAAUUGAAAUUAUUACAGAAAGAUCGCUCAUUCCCAAACCCAAGUACCUUCGGGAUUUAGCCGGAUAAAGCAACUCGCAUAAAUGCCUUCGGGUCUUAGCCCGGAUAUAGUAACUAGCCCAAAUGCCUUCGGGACUUAGCCCGGAUAUAGCAACUAGCACAAAUGCCUUCGGGACUUAGCCCGGAUAUAGCAACUCGCACAAAUGCCUUCGGGUCUUAGCCUGGAUAUAGUAACUAGCCCAAAUGCCUUCGGGACUUAGCCCGGAUAUCAUCCG
rnacentral:lncRNA from 1 species